rnacentral:rRNA from 1 species
GGAAGUGACUGUCUCUUUUUAAUUAAGUUGAAUUUUAUUUUUAAGUCAAAAAGCUUAAAUUUUAUAGAAAGACGAGAAGACCCUAUAGAGUUUAAUAUACUUAAGUUUUUAUGGUUGAGGGUUGAAUUUUGUAAAAGCUUGAUUUUAUUUUGUUGGGGUGAUAUUAGAAUUUAAUUAACUUCUUUUUGUAAAGUCAUUGAUUUAUGAAUGAAUGAUCCUGAUUUUUGGAUUGAAAGAAUAAAUUACCUUAGGGAUAACAGCGUAAUUUUUUUGGAGAGUUCUUAUCGAUAAGAAAGAUUGCGACCUCGAUGUUGGAUUAAAGUUGAUUACCGGUGAAGAAGUUGGUAUAUUAA